rnacentral:rRNA from 1 species
UACGUAGGGUGCGAGCGUUAAUCGGAAUUACUGGGCGUAAAGCGUGCGCAGGCGGUUUUUCAAGCCAGAUGUGAAAACCCCGGGCUCAACCUGGGAACUGCAUUUGGAACUGGAAGACUAGAGUGUGUCAGAGGGGGGUGGAAUUCCACGUGUAGCAGUGAAAUGCGUAGAUAUGUGGAGGAACAUCGAUGGCGAAGGCAGCCUCCUGGGAUAACACUGACGCUCAUGCACGAAAGCGUGGGGAGCAAACAGG